AGGGGGGCAGCUAUCUGCAGUCGAGCGGACAGAUGGGAGCUUGCUCCCUGAUGUUAGCGGCGGACGGGUGAGUAACGCGUGGGUAACCUGCCUGUAAGACUGGGAUAACUCCGGGAAACCGGGGCUAAUACCGGAUGGUUGUUUGAACCGCGUGGUUCAGACAUAAAAGGUGGCUUCGGCUACCACUUACGGAUGGACCCGCGGCGCAUUAGCUAGUUGGUGAGGUAACGGCUCACCAAGGCGACGAUGCGUAGCCGACCUGAGAGGGUGAUCGGCCACACUGGGACUGAGACACGGCCCAUACUCCUACGGGAGGCAGCAGUAGGGAAUCUUCCGCAAUGGACGAAAGUCUGACCGACCAACGCCGCGUGAGUGAUGAAGGUUUUCGGAUCGUAAAGCUCUGUUGUUAGGGAAGAACAAGUGCCGUUCAAAUAGGUCGGCACCUUGACGGUACCUAACCAGAAAGCCACGGCUAACUACGUGCCAGCAGCCGCGGUAAUACGUAGGUGGCAAGCGUUGUCCGGAAUUAUUGGGCGUAAAGGGCUCGCAGGCGGUUUCUUAAGUCUGAUGUGAAAGCCCCCGGCUCAACCGGGAGGGUCAUUGGAAACUGGGGAACUUGAGUGCAAAUAGGAGAGUGGAAUUCCACGUGUACGGUGAAAUGCGUACAGAUGUGGAAGAACACCAGUGGCGAAGGCGACUCUCUGGUCUGUAACUGACGCUGAGGAGCGAAAGCGUGGGGAGCGAACAGGAUUAGAUACCCUGGUAGUCCACGCCCGUAAACGAUGAGUGCUAAGUGUUAGGU
rnacentral:rRNA from 1 species